GAAAUGCGAUACGUAAUGUGAAUUGCAGAAUUCAGUGAAUCAUCGAAUCUUUGAACGCACCUUGCGCCCCUUGGAAUUCCGAGGGGCACACCCGUUUGAGUGUCGUGAACAUCCUUCAACCUUUCUUGGUUUCUUGACCAGGGAAGGCUUGGAAUUUGGGGGUCUUUCAUUGCUGGCCUCUUUGAAGCCRGCUCCUCCUAAAUGGAUUAGUGUGGUCUGCUUUGCSGAUCCUUGACGUGAUAAGAUGUUUCUACGUCUUGGGUUUCGCACUGUCGCUUCAGACCCCGCUUCUAACCGUCUUGCAUUCAAGACAGAGUUUUAAACCUUGACCUCAAAUCGGGUGAGACUACCCGCUGAACUUAA
rnacentral:rRNA from 1 species